rnacentral:rRNA from 1 species
AGCAGCCGCGGUAAUUCCAGCUCCAAUAGCGUAUAUUAAAGUUGUUGCAGUUAAAAAAGCUCGUAGUUGAAUUUCGGGGUUAGCAGGUCGGUCGUGCCAUCGGUAUGAACUGGUCUCGCUGAUCCCUCCCUCUUGACGAACUGUGAUGCCAUUAAUUUGGUGUCGCAGGGAAUCAGGACUGUUACUUUGAAAAAAUUAGAGUGUUUAAAGCAGGCUCACGCUUGAAUACAUUAGCAUGGAAUAAUUGAAAUAGGACGUUUGAUCCUAUUUUGUUGGUUUCUAGGAUUGACGUAAUGAUUAAUAGGGAUAGUUGGGGGCAUUAGUAUUCAAUUGUCAGAGGUGAAAUUCUUGGAUUUAUUGAAGACUAACUACUGCGAAAGCAUUUGCCAAGGAUGUUUUCAUUAAUCAAGAACGAAAGUUAGGGGAGUCGAAGACGAUCAGAUACCGUCGUAGUCGUUAACCAAUAAACUAUAGCCGACUAGGGAUCGGAUGAUGUUAAUUUUUAAUAGUACUCAUUC